GAUGAAGAACGCAGCAAAAUGCGAUAAGUAAUGUGAAUUGCAGAAUUCAGUGAAUCAUCGAAUCUUUGAACGCACAUUGCGCCCCUUGGUAUUCCAUGGGGCAUGCCUGUUCGAGCGUCAUUUGUACCUUCAAGCUCUGCUUGGUGUUGGGUGUUUGUCUCGCCUCUGCGUGUAGACUCGCCUUAAAACAAUUGGCAGCCGGCGUAUUGAUUUCGGAGCGCAGUACAUCUCGCGCUUUGCACUCAUAACGACGACGUCCAAAAGUACAUUUUUACACUCUUGACCUCGGAUCAGGUAGGGAUACCCGCUGAACUUAAGCAUAUCAAUAAGCGGAGGA
rnacentral:misc_RNA from 1 species